CUCCAGACUCCUACGGGAGGCAGCAAUGGGGAAUAUUGGGCAAUGGAGGCAACUCUUACCCAGCAAUGCCGCGUGAAUGAAGAAGGUCUUCGGAUUGUAAAGGUCUUUAAUUGGGGACGAAAAAAAUGACGGCACCCAAGGAAUAAGCCCCGGCUAACUACGUGCCAGCAGCCGCGGUAAUACGUAGGGGGCAAGCGUUGUUCGGAAUGACUGGGCGUAAAGAGUGCGUAGGCGGGGUAAUAAGUCAGAUGUGAAAUCCUGUAGCUUAACUACAGAACUGCAUUUGAAACUGUUACUCUGGAGUGUGGGAGAGGUAGGUGGAAUUCUUGGUGUAGGGGUAAAAUCCGUAGAGAUCAAGAGGAAUACUCAUUGCGAAGGCGACCUGCUGGAACAUUACUGACGCUGAUGCACGAAAGCGUGGGGAGCAAACAGGAUUAGAUACCCGCGUAGA
rnacentral:rRNA from 1 species